rnacentral:rRNA from 1 species
AUUGAACGCUGGCGGCAGGCCUAACACAUGCAAGUCGAGCGAGCGGCGGACGGGUGAGUAAUGUAUGGGGACUGCCCGAUAGAGGGGGAUAACUCCUGGAACCGGUAGCUAAUACCGCAUACUAUCGGAUAACCCAUAUGGGAUUAGCUAGUCGGUGGGGUAAUGCCUCACCUAGGCGACGAUCCCUAGCUGGUCUUAGAGGAUGAUCAGCCACACUGGGUGUGAGAGACGGCGCAGACGCCUACGGAGGCAACAGUGGGGAAUAUUGCACAAUGGGCGCAAGCCUGAUGCAGCCAUGCCGCGUGUAUGAAGAAGGCCCGAGGGUUGUAAAGUACUUUCAGUCUGGAGGCGUUACCGACAGAAGAAGCACCGGCUAACUCCGUGCCAGCCGCCGCGGUAAUAC